UACCUGCAGCUCGAGUGGUAAUCGCUAUUAUUGGGCCUAAAGCGUCCGUAGCCGGUUUGGUAAAUAUCUGGGUAAAUCGUGAGGCUUAACUUCACGAAUUUCGGAUAGACUGCCAGACUUGGGAUCGGGGGAGGUCAGAGGUACUCCAGGGGUAGCGGUGAAAUGUUGUAAUCCUUGGAGGACCACCGGUAGCGAAGGCGUCUGACUAGAACGAGUCCGACGGUGAGGGACGAAGCCCUGGGGCGCAAACCGGAUUAGAUACCCGGGUAGUCCAGGGUGUAAACGAUGUGGGCUUUGUAUUGGAGGUCCCACGUGGGCGUCCAGUGCAGAAGAGAAGUUGUUAAGCCCACCGCCUGGGAAGUACGGUCGCAAGGCUGAAACUUAAAGGAAUUGGCGGGGAGCACAGCAACGGGAGGAGCGUGCGGUUU
rnacentral:rRNA from 1 species